rnacentral:tRNA from 1 species
CCCGGCGUAGAGCAGCCCGGUAGUUCGCGUGGCUCAACCACGAAAGACCGGGUUCGAUUCCCGGGCCUGCAACCA